AAAUAUUAAUUGAUUAUUAUUAAUUGAUCACUAUAACGAUAAAUGUGAUAAAUGUUCAUUAAAAAGUGGAAGUUAAUUAUAUAAAAUAUAAAAUUAUUUAUUAUAAUGUUAGAAUGAAAUAUCAUAAUGACAUUAUGAUACAAAUUGCUGAAUAUAAGAAAAGAAAAAAAUAUGGAACUAUUAUCUUCAUGAUGUUUUUGUAUUGUGAGCUAUGCAUUAAGGAGAACAACACAGGUGCAUUAUGCGAAGAAUAUUUAACAAAAGAAUACUUAAGGAAAGAGAAAAUAUUAACAUUCUAGGUCACCGAUUGUAUAACACAUUCAUGAUUAGAACGCAUUCCCGUGAUGUGUAAUUUACCAAGUUUGUGGAUUAUCAAAAUUAUUUGAUAAGCAGGAAAUUGUUUCCGACUACUAAUACGGAUUAACCUAAUGCACCUAAAAAUAUAUAUUGUAAUACAUAUCAAUUCGAACACCAUAUUGUGCGAGAAAAUAUUAGUUUAUAUAUUUAUUUAUAAUAAACUUUUUUAAAUUGAUUUUUAAUAUAUUAAUAUAAUCAUUAUUAAUUACUAUAAACGUAAAUUUUAUUUAUUUAAUGUAUAAUUUUCUAUAAAUUAAAUAAAAUUGAAUAACAAAAAACAUUGUAAAAAUAUUCAGAAUUAUAUAAAUUUUAUAUUUAUGUUUAUAAAAAUUAUAUUUUAGCAAUAAAAUGAACUGAAUGAUUUAUUAUAGUGAAUGAAUAAUCAUAUUUGAAUAUUACAUUUUGUCCUUUUUUAAAUUUAUAAUUAUAAUAAUAUAAUUAUAAUUUAAUUUAUAAUAAAUUAUAAAAUCAAUAAUUUCUAGGACAUUUAUGAUGCUUGUAAUGCAAGUCAUUGUAUACAUAUGUAUAGAUUUACAGAGUUAAAGCAUAUAUACUAUGAUACUAUUGUUAUAAUUCAAGGAAAAAAAAAUAAUGAAAUUAUAAAAUUGAUAUGUUAAAUUUGAAGAUUUGAUGAAUGAAUUAUAUUACAUUAUAUAAAAUAAUUAUAUUAUUGUAAAAUGAUAUAAACUAUAUAUUUUUGAAUUAGUUUCUAUUAAAAAAUACAAAAUAGUGUAUAUAAUCUUCAUAAAUUAAAGUUACUUGAUAUUUUAAUAUUGUAAUUUAAAACUUUGUUAUUUAUUUUUCAGUAAUUUAUACUAAUAAAUGAAUUUAAUAAUCUAUUUAAAAAGAUUUACAAAUUUUGAAUCUAUGAAUUAUAAAAAUAAAUUUUUUAACUACGUUAUGUUGAUCAAUGCAACUAGAAUGAUCUAACUGAACUUAAUCGAGACAUACAAACCCGAAAUGUGUGCCGAAUAAAUCCGAACUUAAGCCGAACUAAUGUGCAUCCAAUAAGAGGCAAAUUAUAUAAAUUUCAAACGCGAUAACCACAUAUGCCAGUAUUAUCUUAUUGAAUGAAAAAAUAUAAAUUUGUACAACGAGCAAUGAUAAAGCUAAAUACGAGAGUAUAUAUAUAAAGUGAGAGAGAUAAGAUACGAUUGUUCAAUACGAUACCGAAGAUAAGAAAUGAUUGUAUGAUAUAUCACAUUAUUAUACUAUAGUGAUUAUACUUACCAAAGGAGAGAAAGUGUUAUAAAAUUUUUAUCCAUAGCAUGAUUUGUUGCGAAACGUUUAAUCGAGGAAAAUCACCAUAGAUUUGUUUAAGAGAAAUCUUGAAAUUCGAAAAAUAGAGAAUCAAAAUCUAUGAAAUUUCAAUAAUAUAUAAUUUUCUUACAUAACUUAGAAAAUCUUGAAUCUUCUUAGAAAAAUUUUUUAUUUAUUAAAUUUAAAGAUCGAUAAUGAUUAAAUAAAAAAAAAAAUAAGAAAUUAUAGAGAUAAAUCUAGAUUUAUUAAUGUCACUUUCAAAUCGGUCACUUUAUUUCCAAGUUUAACAAAUUUCGAUUAAUGAUAAAAAAAAAAGAUGGACAUUUUUGAUCAUUGUACUCCAUAUAAUGAUUUUGAUUAACUAGAAAUAUAUAAUAUAAAAUAUAAUCAAAAGCGCCUAUUUCUCAAUUGAUAUAUGUCACACAGUUUUAUUAAAUCAAUUUUAUGGAAUAGGCAUUAAUUUUAUUGAAAUUGAAUUUUAAUUGCCUCAACAAAGAUAUAUAUUCAAUAAAUUUCUAUUAAAACAGAUUUUAAUGAUUAUCAUUUUUAUAGUCAUUAUAUUAAAACGAUCUAACAUUAUGAUUGAUAUUGAUAUCAAUAGUGGUAGCUGAAUUUGAUGUGGAUUGAUCUUUUUAAUAGGACUUAACGAAAUCAUCAUAGAUAAACACGUCAUGCUGGAUACAUUCAUAUUAAUAUCAAUUUCUUCGAUAUUAUGAUCGGCAGUAAAGAUAGUCAAAAUUCUAUUAUUGAUUCUUAUUCUUCCAUCGUUGACUUCUUAUUGAAUAUCAACUUGAUUAGAUAAAUAACUGGAAUAAUAAUUUCUUCUCUAUAGAGUGUCUUUAUAAAUCGUCGACUUUCAGUUUGAUAAGAUGAUAUAAAUGGAAAGAAUAUAUAAAUGUAAAGGUUACAUAAUAACAUUAUUAAAAAAUGUAAAUAGAAUAAUUUACAUAUUAUUUUGUCAAGACACAAAUAACAUAUUAGAAUAAUAAAUGUCUCAUAGCAAGUUAUUUCAUAAAUCAGAGAUACAAUAAAAUUUCCUAAUAUUAAAGAAAAAAUAGAUGAUCAACAAUAAAAUAUUAUAAAAUAGGAUCUAAAUAGAAGAAAAAAUAAUAAUAAAAUAAAUAUUGAAUGAAUUCUUAAAAUUCCAAGCUAUAUUAAAUCAUUAAUUAAAAAAUAAAAUUUAAUAAUAUAAAUUGAUUCAAAAAAUAUAAAUAAUACAGAAUACAUAUAAGUAGAAUACAUAUUGAAAAGAUCUGACAAUACAAAACAAACUAAAUCUAACUUUUUCUUUUUUCUGCAUCUCUUGAAUGCUUUUACAAUUGUGCUCUCUAUUUCUCUUCAUUGUUCAACAUAUUCUUUACAUCAUAGAAUAGUUUCGACUGAAAAAUAAUUAUUAUUAAAUUAUUAUUAUUAUUAUUAUUUGUGCAUGAAAAGAUAUAAAAGUAAAUAAAAAAAAUUAUAAAAAAUAUCCAAUUUUCAGCAAUUAAAAAAUUAUCAAAUACAAGCCAUCGUCGAAACUUUUUAUUAAAAAAUAAGAAAAUAGAAUUUUUCAUAUAUAAAAGUAAUUAGAUAAUUUUUUAACAAAAUUAUAUUUCUUAUUUUUCAAUUCGUUUCGAAUUUGGUAAUGGCUUCUCUUUCCAUAAUCAUUUGAUCAUAUCCAUCAUAAGAUUCUUGGUAACUAAUAAAUAACCAAUGCUGAAUAACAAUGUUGUGAUGCUCGAUGAUCAGUAAUAUCGUUUGCUUAAAACAGAAUCAUUUUUUUCUUUCUUUUCUUCAUCACAUCAACGAUUGUGAUUUAACCGUUUCGAAAUCUACGAUUCAUUUGAUUUUUAAGAAUCUUUCUGGAAUUAUGCAUAUACUUUCACAACGAGAAAUUUUCAAGGAGAAUAAGUUUUCUUAUUUACGUAUAUUCAAUAAGAAAUCACAAACAAACUGGUUAUAUCUACAUUGUAGAAUAAUUUUGUAUUAUUUUAAAUCUGAAGUAAAUGAACUUUAAGAUUCGAAUAAAUAGACUUAUGAUUAAAAUCUUAUUAUGAUAUAAAGUAUUUGAUUUUACAUAUUGCAUACGUUAUAUAUAUGUUUAAUGAGUCGAUUUAUUAAAAGAUAAAUAAAAUAAUUAAUCAUAAAUAAUGAUGAAAGUUUAAAAAAAAUAUUGUAAGAUCGAGAUUCGUAAUUUUAAGAGAUUAAAAUUUUUACAAUUGAAUAUAGAUUUCUUUCAUGUAUACGCAACGAAGUAAUUCUUUAGAAAUUGAAUAUUUUUACAAUAAUUUUUUUGUUAAAUUUUUUUUUUAUAUUAAAUUAUUUAAAUAUUCUUGAUCUAUCUAGAAUAAUUUAAGAAAAAUUUUUUUUUUAAUGAUCAUUGAGUUUUUAGAUUAAAAUCAAAUAGAGAUUAGAUUAAAGAAAUAGAAAUUUGAGAUCCUAAGAAAAGUAACUACAUAUUGUAUUUUCCUAGAUUAACCUCUUAAAUGAGCAAAUCAUGUAAGUAAAUAUUGGAUAUUUAAAUGAGUAAAGCGUACAAAUAAAUAUCAGGCACUCAAAUGAGUAAACCACAUAUAUAAACAAAUAUAAAUACAUCAAUUGGAUCAAAUGAAAUAAGUGUUUCAUUUAUUAUUUUAACUGAUUAUAGUAUUAAAGAAUUAAUUUAAAUCAUAAUUCAUCGGUAAUUUUAGCAAUCAAUUCGAUUUGUUUAUCUUCUCUGAUUGGAUUUGAUGGAUAGUGUACAUGUUGAUUGACAUUUUAAGGUAUCGUUUACAAAAACGAAGAUAGAAAUUGUAUUGAUCAAAAAUACUUUAUUGACUUACGUCAGUAAGUUUAGUUUUGUCAAUAGUUCAGUUUAAUUUCACUUACGUCAAUGUUAGUUUUUGCAAAUGUAAAUAUAGCGUGAUGCAUCUGAAUGCAAAUACAAUAUUGCAUUUAAAACAGAAUAUCUUCUCAUAACGUAAAUAUUUUGUUAUGCCCAAAUUAUUGAUAAUUCAAAUUAUGAAUUUAUAUUUUGUUUUUUACCAAAAUUAACAGAAUUAUUUUUGUAAUGUCUAAUUUGAUAUAUUGCAAUAAAUGAACAUUUUCAUUUGUUAUUCGUUGUCUUCGAAGUAUAAAACAGAUCCGUAAUGCGCUUCGUAGAUUAAUGAGAUAUUCGGUGUUACAUACGAUGUCUGCUCCUUUUCUUCAAGAUUCUAUUAAUAACACCGGUUUCAUGGAUUAAAUCAUGAUUUGAGAUAUAGGAGAAAAGUGAAUAUACAUAUUCAUUCGGAUGGAAUAUUUAUUAAUUCUAAUUGAAAGAUUCAAUCAGACCUAAUUUCUAUUCCUUGGAUAACUGAGUGAAAUAGAAUUUUAAUUUUACGUUAUUGAAUACGUCAAACAUUUUUUUAUAUUAUUGCCAUUGAAAACAUAUUUGAAAGAAUUAUUUUUUAAAGAUAGACUAUCUUUUAAAAUCUUAUUUUUUUAUAUGUCAAUUCUUCCUUUAUUAUUUUAUUUCUAUGGAUAAUUGACUUAAUAACAUGAUGCAUUUGUAAAAUAAUAUUUUCAUCUAUUAAUUUUUCUGUUAAUUAUUAUUCUAUUAUUCUAUCUUUUAUUAUUUAAUAAUUAUAUUUUACUUUUAUUUUUUUCUUUCAUUCUAAAUAAAAUAUAUAUCUCUAUAAAUAAUAAAAAUGUUAUGGAUAUUUAAGAUAUUGUCAAUUUUUUUCUUGGAAAGAAAAUUUUUGUAGAAUAUACACGAUCCAAUGCCGACCUUCGUCUUACAUCAGCGAUCUCUUUUUGUCCUCGAGACGUAUAUGGAAUCCACAUGGAGAUAUCGUGUUUUUGUACACUCCUUGGAAGAUGCUUUUUCUGUAAAGGGUAGGCAACCGGAUUCCAGAAAAUGCACAACUUUCGAUACUUAUUGUUACUUCUUUUAUUGAUUUUAUUUAAAAAUUAAACACCAUUUGUCUAUUUAUUUUUAAAUAAUUUUUUAUAGAUUGUAUUUAAUUAAAAUAUUAAAAAUUUAAUAUUAAUUACGAAUCAAUUUAAAAAAUAUACAUAUUAAAUAAAAUUCUCAAAAAAAUGUGUUUAGAUGAUUUGAUUGUCACACGUUUGUAAAAAAACAUGAUACAUUAGAUUUUACCAUCUAUUAUAUUCUCAUUAAAGAAAUGUACAUUCAUGCAAUAAAAUUAAAAAUUUCUUAUUCGAAAAUUUAAUUUCGCUUUAUUAAACAUCAACGCCAUACUCGUAUUUAUUGAAUUAAGUUUGCAUUGGGAUGAUAUCGUACCCUUCCUCAUCCUCGAUCUUCGCUUUUCUCGACCAAGCCUAACUGUUCUUAAUGUAAUAAAAGAAGAUUCAUGAACGAAUGAAUCAUGUUUGUUCGAAUGAAUGCAUGAAUAAUCUUAAGAGAAUCGUGCAAAUGUUGAUCGCAUUGCAAUGAGAAAUUAAACGAAUUCUUUCUUAGUGGAGCGAGUCUAUGUGAAAGGUAAAAAUAUAAAUUGAUUUGUUACUUAUGCAAUGCAAAUAUGUUAUUGUGUAACACGCUCGACAAUAGCCUUAUUGUAAAUAAUAAUCAUGGUGGUUUUGAUAAAUCAUAUUUACUCGAGCGAAACCUAUAUGCUUCUAUUUGUUUAAUCGAAUCAGUAUUUUCGUAAUCGAUUGUAGGUUAUGUUUGUUCAAACUGUUAUAUUAAUAGUAUACAAUUGUGUUCUCUCAUUAAUAAUCUUAAACAGCAUGAUUAUUUAUAGAAGUAUUUUUGGAAAUGAUCACAUUCCAAGUUGUUCUUGUUCAUAUACUUACAUAUAUUUAUAAAGAUCUAAAAAAGAUUAUGAAAGUAAAAGAACUUUAUAGAAAAAUAUCCGAUAUCAUAAAUUUUCUCAAUUUUUAAAACUAUAUAAAAAUAAUAAUAAUAAAAAGUUUACAAUUUAUUUUACAAUUUGCCCAAUAGUUUCUUUUAAUAAAAUAUAAUCAAAUAUAUUAACACAAUAAUCAUUCUGAUUUUUAUUUUAUUAUAAAUUAAAUAAUAAUAUAAUAAAAAUGUCUUAGAAGAAUUACAUAGUAUAUUUGAACAAAGAGAUAAGAUUCAAUUUUUUUUUAUAAUAAACUUUUAAGAAUAGAAAUAAAUUUAAAACUUAACAAAUUUUCAUCUCCUAUAAUAAGGCCUGUUUUUAGACGGCAGAACAGAUUCAUCCGUCACGGCUGAGACUUCCGUUCUUUGUUUGCAGUUUCUAUUUCAGCAUGUCCUCGACCAAUCACAAAGGAAGACACCAGUUAUCGAACACGUCGAGCCAAUCGUUUACCUCGAAAUUAUUUCGUUUGUUUAUCCUCUUUUUCGAUAACGAGCGAUAUAAAACGAAAUUAAAACGCCAUCUAGUUAAUACGAGAGUAUACAUAAAUGAAUCAAUUUGAUCGUGGCUGCUGAUAUAACAUUUGUGUGACGCCAAACCAUUGUGAUUGACAUCGAAUCAACGUUAUAUAAAGAUACUUGAAUCGUCUUGCAGAACGAGCCAAAGGUGUGAACGUGAUAAAAAUCCCGAAUCACGUUUGAUUCCAGAUAAAUAAACGAUACAAGGAAGAAAAACAUUAAAAAACAGUAGUAGGAAAAGAAAGUAAGUUUAUUUGAAAGGUCUAUUACAGGAAGCAUAAGUAAAAAGCAUAAAAUUUUAAAAAUCUUUAUUACUAUGUUAGUUUAUAGAAAGAUAAUUAAAGAAAGAGAAGAUAUCGAUUAAGAAAAGAUACUUAAUCGAUUAUUUUUCAUUUUCUUUGUACACUUAUUCUUUAAAUCGCAAUCAGAUAUUAUCCGAUUAGUGGUAUUAUCAUGUUUUUAAUGUAUACGUUAGAUCAUUUAUGUACACCUUACAUAAAUAAUACAUACACUUCUUGUGACGAAUGCAUAUGAAUGUAAGUGAAUACUUUGCACUACAAGUCUAGGCGAAGAGAAUAGUUACAGAAAUAGCUUAUGACUCAAUAUUAGACAGCAUAUUUAAUACGAACCAUACGGAAUUAUAUUCAUUUCUUGUGGUCAAAAAUCGAUGAUUUAUUUGAUAAAUAUUUACACGAUUUCUAUAAAACAUUAAUGAUCGAAAAAUCUUAAAAUUCUAAAAUCAGGUCCAUGUUGAAGAGAUUCAAGAUCUUUUCAGACUAAAGAUUUUUGAGUUAAAAAUUCAGAUCUAAAUUAUAAAAAAAUUUCCAAGUCACAAUUUAUAAAAAUUUUUAACUCGAAAUCCUCGAUAUUAAAUUUGUUGAUAUUUAAUAAAUGAUGAUUUUAGAUUGAUUUUUGUUAAUUCUUUCGAAUUUGUAAUAGUUUCGAAAUUCUACAAUUUCAAAUUAAUUUUAUGUAAUAUUCUUUCAUUUUCAUUAUUCGAAUAUCUUAGGAAAUAUGAGCAUUGUGAUUUUCGAUCAAAAUUGCCAGAAUAUAUAACUUGCUCCUGUUUUAGCACUUAAACAAGGAAGUUUAUGUUUAAAAACGUAGGUUUCAUUCUAAAUAUACUUACUUCAGAGUUACCAAAUAAUGGGACAAAAUGGCUAUCAGUGACAUUACAAAGUAGCAGUAUAAAGAACACGAUUUCCAAUCCUAUCUAGAGAGACUAUAUUAAACUGCAUCAUUGCUUCAUUUACUCAUUCUCUUUCUUUAGAAAAUUUUAGAAAAAAUUUUCUAUUUUCUACUUCAAAUUACUCUGGAAUAGGAGGAACAAAUCAAGUGAGAAAAUAAAGAUUCAGUUGGCAAUCUUGUUCAGCAUUGCCACAAAAAUUCCUUCUUAAGAAAAUAACGUCACAUUAUUCUUAUUUUUUCUCUAUUUAUAUCUAUGAAUCAUAUUCUCUGAAUAUAUUAAUCUUUUUUCUGAAUUUCAAAAUAAUAAUCUUGGUCUCAAUCCACGCUAAAAGCGAUACACAAAUUCAAUUAAUAAUCAAACAAGAUAAAAUGUUUGCAGUGAAUAACAGCAAUGAGAAAACAAUUUCUUCUUAUUUUCAUCGAUUUGAAAAAAAAUGAGUAAAAAUCGAAUAAUAUUGCUAUAUCAUAUCUCUACAUAAUAAAUCUAUAUUAUAUCUCUACAAAUCUUGUUACUGAUAUUUAACAGUCAUUUUGCCUGGUAUUUGGCAAUUGUGAUUCUCUUAGUUUGUUGUCUUAUUCCCAAAAUAUAAUUUAACAUCAGAUUCUGCCUAAAAUUCUCUCUAGCAAUCCUGCUGCCAACUCCCUGGCUAGAGAAAAAUGACACACAGAGUUAUAUAUAAUAUUCGAACGAAGUAGAAAAGGUUUCUUUCUAAUCAGCAGUAAUAAAAAUUAUUUAUAAGUUUUUUUUUUAUAUUUAUUAUUUUUAUCGUUUCAUUUAUUAAUUAUAAAAUAUACAUUAAUUCAUUAUUUAUAUGUAAAUGAAAUAGGGAGAUGAUAGGGAAAUAAAAUGAAAUUAAGUACAAAGAUAUUAUCGCUGUAAAUAUAAAUUUAUUGAAGUCUUACAGUGCUUAGAUUGAACAAAAACAUACGGCAAACUGAACAAUUUAAGUACACCUAUAUCUUGUCAAUAAAUUCGCCGUAUAAAUAUUAUUUUACAUCUAUGUAAAUUGUGUAUGAUUUUAUUUAUGAUAUAUUGUAUAUAUCUAUGUAUAAUUUAUAUACAAAUCCGAUAUAAUACCGUAUAUGUAAAUAUACAUAUACAAUUGAUCGUAGAAAAUACAAAUUAUUCUUCACGAAAUUUUUUUUUCUUUUAAAGACAUUUCAUAUCUCAUACAAAGCAAAUUCUUCUUGAUAUUCGAAUUUUGUACUUCUUUUUUUUUUGCAUUUAUGUUUACACUUACGUAUCAUUGAAAUUUGUAACAACAAUGAACAUUGUGUAUUUUUUCUAUACAUGUAUGAAAGCCUUUCCCCUUUCAAAAUUAUGACAACUGUGAGCAUGAAUUAUUAUUAUUAUUAUUAUUAUUAUUAUUAUUUGUUUUAUUUGUAAUCAAUUUAAAAGAUAAGAAUUGCUCAAUAGUAUCUUU